CCUAGUAUUUUCCACUUUAACCGAUUUACAUCAUGGUGUAGCGUAUGUGGUAUUAGUUUCCUGCUUUAUGGUGUGUAUAUAAGGUUGGAGUGCAGAAUAAGAUCAUUAUCUCUAGAAAGCAUCCCUGCGAACAAGAACAUGAAACUGCUAGGUCUUCUCAUGGCACUGCUUGCUCUUAGCUAUGCAAACUCGGACAAACUCGUCGCUAAAACCUUAUGUGAACUUCUGAACAGGCUUAAAAGCCUUGAGAAGCAUGACUUCAAGGUAAGCAAAUUAUUUUUGCAUUAACGCGUAAGAGAAAUGAUUUAGUUCUUAAAAAUAGUUCAAUGCCAAUUCUAAUAAGAGAAGUAUUUGUUUGGCUUAACAUACGUUCUGUAUAAGUAUGGACUAAUAUGUUGCACACAUCAACUGACUUGUGUUUCAAUUUCUAGGCUCUCAAUAAAUCAGUACAAAUCCAAACACCACGAGAAGUAAAGAAUGCAUGUGAGUGUGAGUCCUUAUUUGCAGAACACCUGAAGCGAUUUCUAAGGUCAGUUAAAAGUGAAGUACCCAAAAGCCUGUAUGGCAACAUUCUCGACAACGUGUGUAAACUGCAGGAAACUGUAGUCAAGAAUGAGUCAAAUGUCAACUGUAACUUCACAACGCAUAACCUCACAAAAUUGACAUCAGACGAUAUCAAGCCUUUGAUUCAGGAUAACAUUGCGUUCAUCCAAAACUGGAAUGCGAACUGCAAACUGAAGAAUGCAAAUCACAAAAGUAACUAA